CCUACGGGAGGCAGCAGUAGGGAAUCUUCCGCAAUGGACGAAAGUCUGACGGAGCAACGCCGCGUGAGUGAUGAAGGCUUUCGGGUCGUAAAACUCUGUUGUUAGGGAAGAACAAGUACGAGAGUAACUGCUCGUACCUUGACGGUACCUACAGAAAGCCACGGCUAACUACGUGCAGCAGCCGCGGUAAUACGUAGGUGGCAAGCGUUAUCCGGAAUUAUUGGGCGUAAAGCGCGCGCAGGGGUUUCUUAAGUCUGAUGUGAAAGCCCACGGCUCACCCGUGGAGGGUCAUUGGAAACUGGGAACUUGAGUGCAGAAGAGAAAGCGGAAUUCCACGUGUAGCGGUGAAAUGCGUAGAGAUGUGGAGGAACACCAGUGGCGAAGGCGGCUUUUUGGUCUGUAACUGACGCUGAGGCGCGAAAGCGUGGGGAGCAAACAGGAUUAGAUACCCUGGUAGUCCACGCCGUAAACGAUGAGUGCUAAGUGUUAGAGGGGUUUCCGCCCUUUAGUGCUGCAGCUAACGCAUUAAGCACUCCCGCCUGGGGAGUACGGUCGCAAGACUGAAACUCAAAGGAAUUGACGGGGGCCCGCACAAGCGGUGGAGCAUGUGGUUUAUUUCGAAGCAACGCGAAGAACCUUAC
rnacentral:rRNA from 1 species